AGAGCGAACGCUGGCGGCAGGCUUAACACAUGCAAGUCGAGCGCCCCGCAAGGGGAGCGGCAGACGGGUGAGUAACGCGUGGGAACGUACCUUUUGGUUCGGAACAACACAGGGAAACUUGUGCUAAUACCGGAUAAGCCCUUACGGGGAAAGAUUUAUCGCCGAAAGAUCGGCCCGCGUCUGAUUAGCUAGUUGGUGAGGUAACGGCUCACCAAGGCGACGAUCAGUAGCUGGUCUGAGAGGAUGAUCAGCCACAUUGGGACUGAGACACGGCCCAAACUCCUACGGGAGGCAGCAGUGGGGAAUAUUGGACAAUGGCGCAAGCCUGAUCCAGCCAUGCCGCGUGAGUGAUGAAGGCCCUAGGGUUGUAAAGCCCUUUUGACGGGAAGAAAAGCGUGCGGUUAAUACCGUACGUGCUGACGGUACCGUAAGAAUAAGCACCGGCUAACUUCGUGCCAGCAGCCGC
rnacentral:rRNA from 1 species